GAUGAACGCUGACAGAAUGCUUAACACAUGCAAGUCUUUGGCGAAGCUGUGCUUGCACAGCCUAGCCAAGGCGGACGGGUGAGUAACGCGUAAGGAACUUGCCCUGCAGUCAGGGAUAACAGACGGAAACGACUGAUAAGACCUGGUAAAGUCAGGCGGACUCAUGUCCAGCCUGAUGAAAAGAGAUGCUGCAGGAGAGCCUUGCGUCCUAUUAGCUUGUUGGUGGGGUAACGGCCCACCAAGGCGAUGAUAGGUAGCCGGCCUGAGAGGGUGGACGGCCACAAGGGGACUGAGAUACGGCCCUUACUCCUACGGGAGGCAGCAGUGGGGAAUAUUGGACAAUGGGGGCAACCCUGAUCCAGCAAUUCCGUGUGCACGAUGAAGGUUUUCGGAUUGUAAAGUGCUUUCAGCAGGGAAGAAAAAAAUGACGGUACCUGCAGAAGAAGCGACGGCUAAAUACGUG
rnacentral:rRNA from 1 species